GGCGCGGUGGCCUAAUGGUAAGGGUAAGUCAAUAUCAAUAAUAUCUAUUCAACAACCAAUCAGUAUACUAAUCUGGUGUUUAGCGCUACUUUCCGGUGGUAGAGACUGUGGGUUCGAGUCCCAUCCGCGUCG